GUCCGCAUAGUGUAGUGGUUAUCACGUGCGCUUUACACGCGCAAGGUCCUCGGUUCGAACCCGAGUGCGGACA
rnacentral:tRNA from 1 species